AUGUUUGUAAAUUAAAAGAUUCGAUGAUCCAUCUGGUUGUCAUGUAUUGCCGUUACACCUGAGCCACUUACAUUAGGGUUCAUCAAUUCCAAAUCUUUCCCAAAUCCAUUUCAAAUUUCCACUGUACAAUCAAAAUUGAAACCUCUUUCAGUCUCUCCCUGUUCAUCUCAUAUUUGGAUGAAUAAAGGAAUUAUUGAAACAAUUUUAAAAAAAUUGAAAAAAGAAGAGCCAUGUUUCGGGUUUUGUGCGUGAAUCUAAUAAAACUGUAAUCCACACACAAAAAAUGUGGAUUUGUUUCAUAUUAGAUUCACGCAGAAACUCGUAAUCUGUCUUUUCACUAAUUUCCCCAUCGUUUCUUCGUGUCGCUGUCCUUUUUUCUUUCUUGUCCCAAAGGGAUUGGCAAUUUUAAUCUAUAAUUUUGGAGAAGAAAAAGGAAAAAAAGAAAAAAGAAGAGACAAUAGCUUUUAUUAUCAAGCCUGAUUGUGAGUUAAGGAGAGAUCGAUCCUCUAAAUUUGAAGAUUCUUGCCCAAAAUUGGUGCAAUUAUAAAUGUGUUAGUAACUGAAAGGCAAGAAAUUAAUGGUGCUGCUGCAAACAACAUCAGAAAUUUUCGUCCCUGACCAUUAGUAUACACAGUUACACAUUUUAAGUUGCUUACUUAUGAACAUCUAGCAAGAAUCCAUAAUCAUAGCUGACGUUUGCUACCCGGUUUCUACAAUGUACUUUCAGUAGAGGAUAUUCUGUGUUGUAAUAAAUAUGUCGAAUUAUGGGUGAAUUUGUUGCUAACAUUGAACACAACAUGAUUCUCUAUUGAUGAUCCUGAACAUUGACAUAUGAAACAGGGGUACCAUGGCUAUUUUGAAUCCAUGGUUGCCGCAUGAACAGGUUCUAUGACCUAGGGUGUGAGGUGCUCUCACCUCUUAGACAUCAUAAUCUCAUGGCUAAGCCUCCCAGGUUAUCUCUUCCCCUUAUUCAUGAAGUUUGUUUUACUUAUCGGUAUUAAAGUCUCGUUGUUAUAUGGGUAAAAAUUUCAAGUUCUUACUUUUGUCAGAAUCAAUACAGGCAGUAUAACCUAAAGCAAAAUUAGAACAUGGUAGUUAUGCCAUACUAGUAACUUGAGCUAUGUUACAUGAACACAAUGCGAGUGUGGGCAUAAGUAUGUAUCCAAAACAUAUGUUAAGCUUUUUAAUGUUUUUCCAUGUGGUUGGUCGGAGGAUUGUUAAAUUCCAAUACCCAUAUUAAAAUAGACAUCAAA